rnacentral:lncRNA from 1 species
UACCACGACUAGAGUGGUGACUUCCGCUUUCUUCCCCGUCGGCCAUUAUCAUGCGCAUUGUGUCGAACGGCCAUUACGUGUCAGUCAUCGGACGCGCAGCAGCCACACGUCUGGUAGAGACAAGGAAGAGAGAGACUCUGGCAUCAUCAUCGUCGACGUGUUACUGUGUCGUGACCGAUUUAACGAUUGUGGCUCAAGAAUAAACGUGACCGAGUCAGAACUUCGCGAGACGUUGCUGGCGACGGUCGGAUAACAAAAUCGUGGCAUGAACUUAGUUAUUCUGCCUACUCCUGCCUAUCAGACCUUUCAGAGACUCGAGCCUGCCUUCCUCGGCAGGGCAGUAUCAGCAAAGCCUUACUGGCAGAGCAAUAAUUCGCUACAUCCCCAUUUGCAAUAGUUUUCAAGUGUUCCCAUCCGUACGGACCAUUCUGCAGAAUCUCGCGCGUGGACCUCGUCAACUUCACGACAACGACGGCGCAAAGAGCGCACCGGUUCCAGUUGGCGUCCCAAAUUUAAGAAUGCGGAUGACAUUCCCAGGGAAGAAUGGAUGCGCAGUAUUGUAUGCAAAACGGAAAUCUCUUAAAGCACGUCCCAUUCGCGGUGAUCCUGAUCAAGAAACACGAUAAUCAUCGUUUUCAAGACUCGCUUUACAGGAUUUACUUGGGGGUGAUAUGGCGGUAUGGUAGUAUGCAUAAUUUUAUGUUCCCUCGCGAACUCUCGAAGAAUCCGGAUGACGAAUUCAAUACCAUUAGCAAAAAUCGCGGCGUGCCCCAGUGCGUGAAAAUCAGAUCUUGUAGGGCUUCUUUGAUUUUUGUUCCGUUGGCAGCGGAGUAUGCAACACUCUAUCCAUUUAGUGAACAAAUCCUGCACGACUAAUACAUACGCGAAUCCCGAUUUAUUCCGCGGAACAGGAUAUCAGCAGCAAUCACAAUCCACGGACCUUCGAUGACCCGAUGACCCAUCAGUCUCAUCGUGUGAGUCUGCUCGACUUUUGUACGUUGACAAACGUACAUCAUAGCGGCGGAGGUAUCGUGCGGUUUCUCGGUAC